UCUGGCUCUUGCUUCUCUGGCCCUCCCAUUUCUCUAAACCCUCCUGCGACUGCCUCGGUAGCUGGGGAAGGUAUUUAUUAAUAAAGUUUUACUGUUUCAAAGCCGGGCGGAUUGAGCUGGGUCCAUCCGCCUUCCCCUCGCUCGUUGUCCGCAGGUCCUCUCGGCUACAGGCAACGAGCUUCAGGACGCCAUGGCGAGGGGCCGCCGCGGCCGGGCGGGUAUGAGGCCGCCUUUCGCUGCCCGCGCGCUCGCGUGGCUUCUGGGGCCGCCAGCGUGCACCUCAGUCUGAGCGCAGCCCCUUCGCGCCCACGGGCCGCCUGGCGCCGGACUCCAUGGCGUCCGAGGCGCCGUCUCCUUCGUUGUCACCAUCGCCACCCACCUCCCCCGAGCCCGAGCUGGCCCAGUUGAGGCGGAAGGUGGAGAAGUUGGAACGCGAGCUGCGCAGCUGCAAGCGGCAGGUGCGGGAGAUCGAGAAGCUGCUGCAUCACACAGAGCGUCUGUACCAGAGCGCCGAGAGCAACAACCAGGAGCUCCGCACCCAGGUAGAAGAACUCAGUAAAAUACUCUAUUGUGGGAGAAACGAAGAUAAUAAGAAGUCUGAUGUAGAAGUACAAACAGAGAACCACCCUCCUUGGUCAAUCUCAGAUUAUUAUUAUCAGACAUACUAUAAGGAUAUUAGUCUUCCAAAUAAAGUAACAGAACUCUCAGUUCAGCAAGAUCAGGAUAUUGAGGUUUCUACUUAUAAUUCUAAAGACCAGUUACAAAUAGAAAAUGAUGCUUACACUGGUACUGAUGUGACGGAAGAGGUUGAAUGUGGACAAGAGGACCAUUUUGCCUCAAAUUCACAGGAGCCAGCAUCUGUGUUAGCAACAGAAGAUACAUCCUUAGAAGGUUCUUCAUUAGCUGAAAGUUUGAGAGCUGCAGCAGAAGCUGCUGUAUCACAGACUGGAUUUAGUUAUGAUGAGAAUACUGGACUGUAUUUUGACCACAGCACAGGUUUCUAUUAUGAUUCUGAAAAUCAACUAUAUUAUGAUCCUUCUACUGGAAUUUAUUACUAUUGUGAUGUGGAAAGUGGUCGAUACCAAUUUCAUUCUCGAGUAGAUUUGCAACCUUAUCAGACUUCUGGCACAAAACAAAGUAAAGAUAAAAAGUUGAAGAAGAAAAGAAAGGAUCCAGAUUCUUCUACAACAAAUGAGGAAAAGGAUUUGAAUUCAGAAGAUCAAAAAGCAUCCAGUAUCGAACAUAUGAACUGCAGUGAGGGAGAAGAUUGUGUAAAUGUGAAAAAGAAGGCCAAAAUAGACAUUCGUUAUAAAAAUAGUUCCCUGGAAUUCACUGUUCCAGUUAGUGGAAAGCCUACAGAAUUUUCUCUUAAUGAAAACAUCUAUAAUUCAACUUCAUUUAAAGAUGAGAAAAUCCUAGAGUCUGAUAGUGAGCCAGAAGAAGGUGAAAUUACAGACUCUCAGACUGAGGACAGUUAUGAUGAAGACAUUACCAGUGAAGACAAUGUAACUGCAGAAGAUACUGAGGAUGAAGAUGAGGAAAAAAUUUGGCCCCCUUGUAUUAGGGUAAUUGUUAUUAGAUCACCAGUGUUGCAGACAGGAUCACUUUUUAUCAUUACAGCUGUAAACCCUGCUACAAUUGGAAGAGAAAAAGAUAUGGAGCAUACUCUUCGAAUCCCUGAAGUUGGUGUCAGUAAGUUUCAUGCAGAAAUUUAUUUUGACCAUGACUUACAAAGCUAUGUCCUUGUGGAUCAAGGCAGUCAGAAUGGUACAGUUGUUAAUGGAAAACAGAUUCUUCAGCCUAAAACUAAAUGCGACCCUUAUGUACUUGAGCAUGGAGAUGAAGUGAAAAUUGGGGAGACUGUGUUGUCCUUUCACAUUCACCCUGGCAGUGACACCUGUGAUGGCUGUGAACCAGGGCAGGUUAGAGCUCAUCUUCGUCUUGAUAAGAAAGAUGAAUCUUUUGUUGGUCCAACACUAAGCAAAGAGGAAAAGGAGUUGGAAAGGAGAAAAGAGUUAAAGAAAAUACGAGUAAAAUACGGUUUACGGAAUACAGACUACGAAGAUGAAAAGGCAUUGAAGAAUCCAAAAUAUAAAGACAGGGCAGGAAAACGUAGGAAGCAGAUUGGAAGUGAAGGAACUUUCCAAAGAGAUGAUGCACCUGCAUCUGUUCAUUCUGAAAUUACUGAUAGCAACAAAGGUCGGAAGAUGUUGGAGAAAAUGGGUUGGAAAAAAGGAGAGGGCCUAGGGAAGGAUGGUGGAGGAAUGAAAACUCCGAUCCAGCUUCAGCUUCGACGAACACAUGCAGGCUUGGGGACAGGCAAACCAUCCUCAAUAGAAGAUGUUCAUCUUCUCCAAACCAAGAGUAAGAAGAACUGGGAGAAAGCGCGCGAGAGGUUUGCUGAAAACUUCCCAGAAACUAAACCUCAAAAAGAUGCACCAGGAACUGUGCCUUGGGUCAAAGGGACUGUAGAUUGAAGAUGUACGUCUUCAGCGGAUAUCCAUGAAGUGCUUCCUACAGGCCAGGCACAUUCUAGGCACUUGGGAUACAGCAGUAAACAAACCAGGUGAGAAUCUUAAUCCUACCGUCACAGCACACCAAGGGUUAUCAUCACUCCACCUACAACUAGAAGUGGGAUCCUUGUUACCAUCUGAUGGGGAAGAAAGAGAAAAGGUGAAAAAAAGGAAGAACAGAAAAGACAAGGCAAUAUGAGUGACAGCGCUGCAGGCCUUCCUGUUCUAACUCACCCACCAGGACCCCUAGCUGAGGCUUCUGCUGGGAAAGCGGACCCAGGAGGAGGAGACAUCGGAAGAGAUGUGGGAGCGACUCUGCACAGACAGCUUUGCCAGGAGAAGAGGAAACCAUUGUGUGUGUGACUUGGGGGUACAAGCAGUAGUCUGACCCACAGAUCUAGUGUUUAUCAUCCUGUCCUCAGAAACAAGAUUGGAAUGCUGUGGCCCAUUGGUUUUGGCUGGGUCUACUUGGGAUGAUCUGGCCUGCUUGGAUUUGAAGAGAGGCCCAUAGGAAACAUGGAGAACUGGAUCUUUGCAUGGCAAGCAAUGGAUUUGUCAGUCAUGGGGAUGCACUGCUUAGAUGUCCCGUUAAGACAAUAUGUAAUGGAAAGGGUAGUUGACUGACAGCCCAGCUGCCACACCUCUGGACCCACCAUGUGAACAAAAAGGUCAUACUUCCCUUAGACAACUUCCAGCCUGUAACUGAAUAAGCCUGUGAAUCAAGAAGAAUCUCCACGGUUAUCCUCGGUGCAAUAGUACUCCCAAGAGUCAAGAAAACCAGAUGAUGGCAGACACCAGUCCCUGGACCUGGACCAACAGUUAUUGGUUUAUUCAUAAGUGUGGCACUGCUUGUCAACAUUCCUCAGUGUGCUUUGAGGUCUGACACCAUUUGAUGACAAAGAGCCACCAACAGAAGAAUGAUUCAAGUGACCCUGAUGAUGCCCUGAUGCAACAUGGGACUAACAGAACUGAGCUGACCCUGAGAUUUUGCGAGGAUUUAAAGUGAUAAAUUCACUAUUUUAGCUAUAGGAGAAGAUGUUCUUGAACUGGGGUUGAGGUGCUAUCCUGUGGCCGCAAGCCAACAUAGUUACUGUGGAAGUGAUCCAUGAUACCUCAACUGGGAUCCA